rnacentral:rRNA from 1 species
AUUGAACGCUGGCGGAAUGCUUUACACAUGCAAGUCGAACGGUAGAGGGGGCAACCCCUUGAGAGUGGCGAACGGGUGAGUAAUAUAUCGGAACGUGCCCAGUCGUGGGGAUAACGUAGCGAAAGUUACGCUAAUACCGCAUACGAUCUAAGGAUGAAAGCGGGGGAUCGCAAGACCUCGCGCGAUUGGAGCGGCCGAUAUCAGAUUAGGUAGUUGGUGAGGUAAAGGCUCACCAAGCCGACGAUCUGUAGCUGGUCUGAGAGGACGACCAGCCACACUGGGACUGAGACACGGCCCAGACUCCUACGGGAGGCAGCAGUGGGGAAUUUUGGACAAUGGGCGCAAGCCUGAUCCAGCAAUGCCGCGUGCAGGAUGAAGGCCUUCGGGUUGGUUAACUAGCUUUUGUUACGGAACCGGAAACGGUA